GUCCAUCCAGGGACCUAUUGAAGGGUGUACUGAUCAGAUCUUUUGUUGAUCGUUUCUUUAUGUUCGACAUUCCUCAGCCCAUUCUCUAGAGUCUCACCAGGGACAUAUUGAAUGGUGUACUGAUCAAAUAUUUUGUUGAUCUUUUCUUUAUGUUCGACAUUCUUCAGCCCAUUCUCCAGAGUCUCACCAGGGACCUAUUGAAGGGUGUACUGAUCAGAUUGGGAAGAGAACAAACCUGUUGGCUCCCUGCUUCCCAAUGGCAUGGAAGUCAGGGAGGUGCAGGGAGGCAAUUGGUUAUGCUGCUCAUGAGGAUAAAGACUAUCAAAACAAGUUUAGGGAGGCUGUGGAAGCUCUUUUCGGGUUAUGUGGAAUGCAUGAAGAUAGAGACGAUUUCUACCACUUGCUCCAAACACCUCUAUCCAGGUAACAACUCCUUCACUCUGAUA